rnacentral:rRNA from 1 species
UACGUAGGGGGCAAGCGUUGUCCGGAUUUAUUGGGCGUAAAGAGCGUGUAGGCGGCCAGCACAAGUCAGUUGUGAAAUCUCCGAGCUUAACUCGGAAAGGUCAACUGAUACUGUGCGGCUAGAGUGCGGAAGGGGCAACUGGAAUUCUUGGUGUAGCGGUGAAAUGCGUAGAUAUCAAGAGGAACACCUGCGGCGAAGGCGACUUUCUGGUCUGUAACUGACACUGAGGCGCGAAAGCGUGGGGAGCAAACAGG